AGCACUACCUGCCUCAGGUGACCUUCACAGAGGUGGCAGUGGGGCAGGGGACACUCAUCCUCUGUCACCUCAGGGCUCGAUGAGUGACAGCCUGCCCGUGGCAGAGACCAGAGCCUCCCUGCUGAUGCUGAGAUAAUGCACUGGGUAAUAGUUUUCGACAUAUUUCAUUGAAAUAUAACAAAAUAUUUGCAUAGCUUUAUUAGAUAAAGGGGAGCUGACUGGAGGCAGAGCUCAUUUGGAAAUACGAUGUGAAAAUUCAUUUAAAAUGAAAGAAUCUGGAAGCUUAAGUUUAUGGUAAUAGAUUGAUCGCCCAGAGUAGCUAAUGACUCCCAACAAAUAGAUCUCAGCUACUGCAUCCUCUGCUUGGCUGCUGCCCUGGAGUUACCCAGUCCCUGUUUAUGGGGUGAACUGGGGCCGUGGAUGCCAGCUCCGAGCCGGACUGGGAGUGCUGGGAGCCUGUGGCACACGGGGAGAGGGUGUGAUGGAGCGGCAGGAGGAGGGAGAGGGCUGCGUGACUCCAGGAUAAAUGCUGGGGUUUAAUUUCCAUCUCCCCGAUGCUGAAGCAGAUUGAAAUGAAGCCACUGAAAAGGUGCAGAUGAGAGGUGAGCACAGCUGGGAUCUGUUCCUCUGGUGCUGGGCUGGACCUUUCCACUGGAGGCUGUGCCAAUGGAGCAGACGUCGUCUCCCUUUCAUCUAGGACUUUGCUGUUCUCUGGUUCCCUACAGUUACAGAAACCACAAGGCUGGGAGAGGGGAGGAAAAAAAGAAGAGAUUAAAUUAAUGAGCAGGUGUUGAAGCACCCGGACAAAUUUCCCCUGUGUUGACGAGGAGCAAACAGUCCGGCGGAACAGGCGAUGUUUGCAGAGGGAAUCCAGAGGUGUCUCGCGAGACUCUUCGAAGGGUAGCAGUGCCAGAGGAGCAAUAACCAGGUGUAGCCCUGCAGCGACAAAGUGACCAACCUCAGGCACCACCUUGAACUGAGCCUGUGCUGCGCUUGGGAAGCCGGGGGGAGCAACGUUCCUCGCUGUGCCACGAGCUGAGGGGGGUGAGCAUCGCUCUGGCCAUCGUUCCAGCGCUCCCAGACAUCUCUCCCUCCCCUUCCCUCCCUCUGGCAGCCGUGGAGUCAGCAGCAGCCCCCCACACCUAUUAAAGGCUGGAAAGCAUCACAGCAGUGCCCGUGGUUCCCGAGCAUCCCCUGGCUGGGCCAGCAGACGAACUGGAGCCACGUCCCUGUGGGACCAGAAGAUGCUGUGCAGGGGCACCACGCGUCUCUCCAGGACGCCCUUCAGGGGCCCAGCGUGAAAGACAUCUAAAAUUCAUAAAUGUCAAGGAGGAAAGGAAGUGAGGACAACUAAAUAUAGAAAUCCAAACACCUCCUUUAAGGCUACAGAAGCAGCGUGAUGUGCACAGCCUAAAAGCCUCCUUAGACUUGAGUCUGGCACAGCACUGAAGGGCAGCCUGGUGACUGUGGAAGGGAGAUGUGUAUGUCUUACUGCAAUUAAGGCACAAAGGUUGACUCUGGGAACAUCUACCCAUCUUCUUCCUCUCUACUCUGCUCGGGUGAGACCCCACCUGGAGCACUGCAUCCAGCUCUGGAGCCCCCAGUGGAAGACAGACGUGGACCUGCUGCAUCUGGAAGAAGCACAAAGAUGCUCCGAGGGCUGGAGCCCCUCUGCUCUGGAGCCAGGCUGGGAGAGCUGGGGGUGUUCACCUGCAGAAGAGAAGACUCCAGGGAGACAUUAGAGCCCCUUCCAGUGCAUAAAGGGACUCCAAGGGAGCUGGAGAGGGACUCUGGGCAAGAGCAUGGAGUGACAGGACAAAGGGGAAUGGCUUCCCACUGCCAGGGGGCAGGGUUGGAUUAGAUAGGAGGAAGAAAUUUUUCCCUAUGAGUGUGGGGAGGCCCUGGCACAGGUUGCCCAGAGAAGCUGUGGCUGCCCCAUCCCUGGAAGUGCCCAAAGCCAGGAUGGAUGGAGCUUGAAGCAACCUGGUCUAGUGGAAGGUGUCCCUGCCUGUGGCAGGGGGUGAAGGAGAUGAUCUUUAAGGUUCCUUCCAACUCAGACCAUUCUAUGCAUUGUGAUGCUGCUGAUCCCAGAUGUUUCUGUCUCAGGAGCUGCAGGGAGAGGUCUGCAGCAUCCCAUUUGUCCUGCCCAAGAACAGGAGCUUCCCCAGCCACACAUGUUCCCACCAGAAACCAGGGUUUCAUCCAUGCCACAGCCUGCAUGGGGAGAUGGAAGUGAAACCCCUGAUGUUUCUGAGUUGAAAAUGUCUUUUCUUUCUGUUCCAUAGGAAAUGUCACUGUUCACUUCUCCAUUCCACUGCAAGGGGAACAGAAACAGGUCCUGAAGUGUCUGGAUUUGCUGUGGAAGGAAGAUGCUGAUUUUUCUACAGGGAAUCACAUGGCAGAAGUAGCUGAAACCCAAGAAAAAAAUCCAGGCUUCCUCCUCUAUUCACAAGCCAGGAACGAGCAGGAUUGUUGCUGGGAGGAGAUUCCGGGACACGAUCACAAGCAGAAAGAGUUGACUUUCCUCUGCCAAAGGCAGCCAGGGAGGACUGGAGUUUAUAGAGCAAUUCAGCAUCGGUGUUGGCUUUCCACCCCCUCAAAGCCCCGAGGAGGCUCCGCGCGGAGCUCGGGCGAUGUUCCGUCGAUAAUAAUGACUCAGCGUUUGGCCGCUCCGCGGGUACAUCAGAGGCGCUUUAUUAAAAAGUACACAGUCCGUGCAUCGACCAUAAAUCCAGGCAGGAGCUGCCGAGAGCGCCGUGCCGCACACACAUCACCCGGGCAGCCUCUCCGGGCGGGAGCUGCCUCUGCCUCUGCCUUUCCCUGCCCGCUCCGGCAGUCCCGGAAUGCCGGGCUUUAAUUGCCGCGGCGACCUGGGAUGCAUUGAGCCGCUUGGCGUGUCCGUCAGCUCCGUGCAGGCAGGAACAGGCACAAUAAAAUUCCCUUUACAGCCACUCACUCACUCUCUCCAUCGUUGGAGCAAGAGCCUCUUCCCAUUCAGCAGCCGAGGAGGAGGCCGUGUAACUGCUGGGGAAGGUGCUGCAGCAGGACCAGCAGCAAUGAAAUGCAGUUGAACAUUUCCAGCGCUGAGUAAACCAUAUGUCUUCAUAAUUUGAUUGUGCCCCGGUCCCCCAGGUACCUCCCAGCUCUAUUGAACACCGAUGGAGUUAUUUGGAAUCAUAAAUAAUAUUAUCAAAGAGGGUCUGCUGGGUAAACAGAGCCGGUGUAUAAAUUGUCGGCGGCGGUAUUGAUUGUUCUGAGCUGACUAAUGAAUUAUUCUGUUUAAGGGCUGUGGAAAUAGUGCUCAGCGUUUUCAAGGAAGGGCCCUUUGGAUGCUUCCCCCCGGCACUGCUGGGCUCUGCUGCCCUGGCAGGGAGCACAGGAGACAGGAAUGGCCCCGGCACAGCCCCCGGGGCAGCAGCCCCGCGGUGGAGCCAGGCCAGGGCAAGUGGGCAGGCUCAGCAGUAAAGAGGUGGAGGGGGAGCAUCCCGGAGGAGCAG